CUUGACCUGCCUUCCAGGUGUGUCUCAACAAAGCCCCAAAAUUCUCUUGAAUUCAAAAAACGCCCUCAUCCUGAGACUAUACUGCUGACUGUCCAUAUUAAUCCAUAAGUGGCCCACCCAACCCUGUCGUGACAGCUCCCGUCAUCACAAACACAGAGAAAUGUGUUUCCAGCUUGGUAUCCUGCAACUUUAGAUAAGGGUAUUUUUUUAAAGGGUGGGGGGUAGAUAUAUAAUAGAGUGCUGGAGACAGAAGCAGAGCAGAGUUCACUUUGUUUCCUACGUUUCCUUUCGGGGGGGAUUCCGACACGUAUGUUUAUGUAAUAAAUGUUAUUAAAUGUCGAUGCUCCCUCAGUGACCUGUUUCCUCUGUUUUCGUUACGGCCGCAGAACGCUCCCGUGAAAUGAGACGGAGAGCGCGCGAUCGGGGCGCAGGAGGAACCCCGCCUGACUGGGCUGUUGACCGCACUCUUGGGCUGUGGAGAAGGGGUUUUGGCUGUCAGGACUGAGCGGACCCCAGCAGAAAUGACCCCCCUGUGAGCCCUAACUCAUCCUCAGUGGGAGGCCCGCAGGAGCGGACGCGCUGCGUGCCACGCUCAACCCGUCAUGGGGCGAGGAGCAACUUUUCAGAAAAUCCCAGAGCGGAACAACUUUCAGCAUCCUGUAAAUUGCAGCCAAAAUGAGCGGCCUGAAGAGGAGAAGCUGAAUCAGUGGAUGAGAAGCUGGCUGUAUUAUGCUCUACAGGAGGAUCUGUCUAUAACAAAGGAAGGUUGCCAGAUCUUACAUAAGAGGGAUAUUAAUCAACACCAGGCACCCUUUCAGGAGUUAAACAGGGUGUGUUGUCUUACUUUGUUUACAGAAAAAUCACCAAGCAUCACUGCAUUGGGAAAGAAGUUGUCCUUCUAAAUCAGAUAUUUAGGCAUACAACGAGGAAAAUUCCAGACUUCAACAGCCCUCUAAAAAAGGUGUAAGGUUUUAGUGUAUGCAAUAAAAUGUGUGCCAUGUUUCUGCAGAGGAAGUCAUAAUAUUAUUUUAAUCUCUUACCAGUAACAGAGGGAGCCAGCAUAAUAAAAAAUUGCAACCAUA